GCUUGUCUCAAAGAUUAAGCCAUGCAUGUCUCAGUAUAAGCUUCUAUACGGCGAAACUGCGAAUGGCUCAUUAAAACAGUUAUAGUUUAUUUGGUGGUCAACUCUUACAUGGAUAACCGUGGUAAUUCUAGAGCUAAUACAUGCGCCCAAACCCAACUUCUUGGAAGGGUUGUGUUUAUUAGAUACAGAACCAACCCAGGCUCUGCCUGGUUAAUUGGUGAUUCAUGAUAACUGAAUGAAUCGCAUGGUCCGCCGGCGAUAAAUCAUUCAAGUUUCUGACCUAUCAGCUUCCGACGGUAGGGUAUUGGCCUACCGUGGC
rnacentral:rRNA from 1 species